GGACAUUAAUUAUAGAUGGUUAUUUUUUUUCUUUCAGUUUCGUUAGGGUUGACGUGUUUGGUGUGUUAGAGUGAAUGUGUACAUUGGAAACACAUAAGCGAUAUGGUCAUUCAAACAAUAAGAUUUCACAGAGUCCAAAAUAAUGUUCCAAAAAGAAUCUGUCAUGGAGUUUAUACAAAGGCUUGAAAAAUAAAUGUACCCAGCGUUUAGACAUUUGUUGAAGAACUGCACAAGAUAGUGACUCAAAGAAAAAUGUUUGUAGACAAGAAAGAACGAGAGGAGAAAACCACAAAUGACCAGGAUUGGUCAUCUAGAGAUAAAACAGUGAAAUUAUUGUUUCAUCUAGUCCUGGUUUUGUUAGUAACAAUUGUUAUUGUAGCAGUAUGUCUGUUUCAGCAAAACUAUCGAUUGCGUUCCCUGGAAACGUUUUUACUCAACGAAAAUCAUCGAAAUGCUCUAGCCGUAGCCAGAAAGAAUUUAGAUCUAGAUCUAGCAGCAGACCAGUCAGUACAGGACGGUGAAGUCAUUAAACAUAAAGAAAACAUUGAACCCGGGCGCCUGCAACGAUUGUCUAAAAGUCAAUUCAAUUCCAAGAAUGGGAAGACAAAAUCUCGAGACACAACACAGGUCACUGAAACGUUCUUUCAUAAAUUAACCAGAAAUG
rnacentral:sRNA from 1 species